AUUGAACGCUGGCGGCGGGCUUAACACAUGCAAGUCGAGCGGAGAUGAGGUGCUUGCACCUUAUCUUAGCGGCGGACGGGUGAGUAAUGCUUAGGAAUCUGCCUAUUAGUGGGGGACAACAUUCCGAAAGGAAUGCUAAUACCGCAUACGCCCUACGAGGGAAAGCAGGGGAUCUUCGGACCUUGCGCUAAUAGAUGAGCCUAAGUAAGAUUAGCUAGUUGGUGGGGUAAAGGCCUACCAAGGCGACGAUCUGUAGCGGGUCUGAGAGGAUGAUCCGCCACACUGGGACUGAGACACGGCCCAGACUCCUACGGGAGGCAGCAGUGGGGAAUAUUGGACAAUGGGCGAAAGCCUGAUCCAGCCAUGCCGCGUGUGUGAAGAAGGCCUUUUGGUUGUAAAGCACUUUAAGCGAGGAGGAGGCUACCGAGAUUAAUACUCUUGGAUAGUGGACGUUACUCGCAGAAUAAGCACCGGCUAACUCUGUGCCAGCCGCCGCAGUAACAC
rnacentral:rRNA from 1 species